UUACCUAAUCGUAACGGGACUUACGACUCUCGUUGACGUGCUUUCUCGCGAUCGCGUCUCUCCGCGAAUGGUCCAAUAAACACUAAUGUUCAUUAGUACUUAGCUAAGAAUUCAAUCGUAAUUCGACCGUGCCAGUUUGUACUUUCAGGAAGAAAACAACCUUAUUGACCGGGCAGUUCUAUGCAACUGUUUAUAAAUCGCACAUUAAGCGAACUUGUUUACGAGUUAAAAUCCAAAGGUUUCAGUUGUAAGAACUAUAAGAAAAUAUCUCAUGAAUUAUGAUCACAUUGAUAUAGGUAUUGAGAAACGCUAAGUUAGUAUGAUCGCUAGUUCCUACAAGCUAAGUUGGCACGACUUCUAACGACGCUCUUUUGUCUUAGGAGUCGACCACGUGUUAAUUAACUAAGUGUAUCCAGUGUGUUCAGACGCUUUGCACAAGGUGGUGAAAUAUAGAAAGUAAAACUUGAAUCUGUGUGAAUCAAUCAAGUAUCAACCCCAAACGGGGUAUUAUAUGUAUAAAACGAAGCAAAAAUGAAACAUAUUCUUUUCAUUUGUAAUUUUAAAUAACGAAUAGACAAGAUAACGCAUAAAUGGAAUUUAUCAUCUUCUUUAAAUGGUAUAGUGCAUUCCAUAAUUAAAAUGGAAUUUAUCACCUUCUUUAAAUGGUAUAGUGCAUUCCAUAAUUAAAAGCGAAUAAAAAAACGAACUUACCAAAGAACCAUGGGAAAGAAUUUAUAAAGUUUUAUCUUACUCAGGAGUCAGUUUGCCUGAAUAUCACAAAAUCCAUUCACGUUAAAUUUCUGGCAACGAGAACUCUUGAAAUAAUUUCUUAAAAAAUGAAUUUUAACAGACUUUUCUUCAAUUUUUUAAAUUGUAACAGAAACAUUGUAACAAGGGAAAGAUAGUGUGUGCAAAAAUGCGUGAAAGGGCAUUUAGAAAAAUCGAAAUAGUUGGAAAUAUAAUUAAAAAGUGAAGAGGAAAUAUCGUGGCUUUCAUGCCAGGAGCAUAAAUGUGAAAAUUUUCAGCUUUUAUGACAAAUUCUACUUCUUUUUCUUUUUUUUGUUUAAAUUGAGCUUCACUUGAAUAUGGCAUGAAAAGUAAGGUUUGAAAGAAAAUUUCAGAUACAUUGAUUUCCGGAGUUAUUUAAUUGCUUUUCACGUUUACUUGUGAAUUUCCACAGUUGAUCAAAUUGCAAAAUUCAUACCAUUGGUAUUAUGCAAACAAUAUAGAGUGUAAUAAAAGGAAAAUAAGAAAAUACAAAUUCUGACAGUGAAUUUAGUAAAAAGUCAAGAAAAAGUAAGGCAGAUGUUAGGAAACCAUAGCAAAAUAAAAGAAGCUUAAGAAGGCAACGGUAACCAUAAUAAUAAGAAAGAAACACAGGAGAAAGGUCACUAAAAUAAAUUACAAAGUGUAAAGUGGCAAUAGGAGACAACAAGAAAUAAACAACAAGUACGAGCAAAGAAAAUACAGUAAAUACAAUAAAUACAGUAAAUUCAAUAAAGAAAUGAAGGCAUAAUCUUAAAUUAAACCUUAAAUCCUACAGAAAGUACAUAUAAUGUUGAAGGGAAUGGGGAAUAUGGAAGACGAAUUAAAGAAGGUAAGAAAAAUUUAAGAUUAAUUAAGAGAGAUUUUAUAUUAUAGUAGAGAAAUAUCAGAAUAUAGAAAAAGAUAAGAGAAAAGAAAGGGACAUGAGCAGAAGAACAGAGCAAACUGAACAGAAGAGAGAAGCAAACUCACAAAAAGAAGUGAGGUACUAGAAGAGUCAGACAAAAUUGAAAGAAGAAAAAAGGGUAAAACUGUUGUUAUAAAAAGAUUGUAAAUAAGAGGUAAAGUAGAAGGACACAAAAUGAUCUCGAACAUAAAUAGGUUAAACUUUGUUUCAGGGCAUCGCUCAUUCUGGUCAUUAUUUGUAUCUUCUAAUGUUAUUUCAUGAAUAUGAAGAUGAACAUGAAAAUGAAAAAUAACAGUUUUGAGUUUAGCGAUCCAUUGUUUCACAAGUAAGGAUCAAUAUAUGAAUUGAUUCAGCAAAGACAAUUUUUGGUAUUUCAUACAGGAAAAAAAUAUAUAUGGCCCAACUAAUACUAUAGCAAAAACAUUCAUAGUGCUCGUAGAAAUUAAUGCCUGAAUGGUAAUUUGGCAUAAAGAUAAAGUGAACCAUACACAGUAUAUAGCUAUAUGGCAUAGAAGUAUCGCGUUUCCACUACUCAACAAAAAUAGAUAAAACACAAACACAUUCCCUAAAAAGAAUAUUAUACAUACUGAAAUACCAUGUAAUGCCAGAUUAAAAGCUAAUGAUUAAAAGCAAGAAGAAUAGGCUUGGAACAGAAACUAAUAAAAUGAGGAGUAAAUUAUAUGUUAAAACUGGCAAACAUGGGAGAACACAUAAUUAAACAGGAAAACAUUGGAAAAAGUUAUACACACAUGAUAAACUCAAAUAAAGUUAUGAAGCCAAUGAUACAGAAAUAAUAAUAAAUUUAAACUAAACAACAAUAAAAGAAAUAACAGAGAUACUUUCUGGAGAAAAGAAAGAAAGAAUAGAAUAAUCUAUCUAUAGUGAAGUAUAUAAAUAUGAUAAGAAUGUAGAAAAAUAAUUAAAGUUACUUACUUACAUAUGAAACUGCUAUUAAUAAAUAAAAGAAUAAUCAAAGUUAGAGUAGCUGGGAGACAAGAACAAUCAGGGAAUGCAAAAAACAGUAUAAUAUACAAAACAGAUGGAAACAAAAUGUAUAAUAUGUGUAAGAAAAAUAAAUUGGAUACAGUAUUCAGAAUUUACAACAAAAUUCAUUAAAAAAGCAGCAAUAGGAUGGUCGUUUCCUUUUCUGACAAAGAAAGAUAGUUAUGAGGACUGACAAAUUUUAUUAAAAAGCAAAAGCAGUGUAGCGGCACAAGAGUCAUAGGACGAGGCGGAUCGAGAGUGUCUCAUGUUGUUGUUGUGCCUCGGAACACGGAUACAGCCUUGACGCUCGAAGCAUAUCGAUAGACGAAACAAAGUCACCUUUAUGGGCAACCGUCGAUCUUAGACAAAUUCAAAUUUUCCGACUUCUCCCCCCCCCCCAGACCAGUAUAAAUAAACAGAUGUGAUCACAGGCGAGACAUUAUAAUACCAAGUGAUACGAAUUAGCGAUCAAUAUCUGCGAGUCGGGUUUUCCGCAAGCGAACAUACACUAUUGUUGCGAACACAGUGAACGAACGUCUUUUGUACUUUUCUUUAUUUGUUUAACUUAUUCGAAAUAUAUUUGACGGGUUGCGACAGCAA